UUAGUAGUAAAGUCUGCUCAAUGAAUUUUCAAUAGCCGCUAAUAGUGCUAAGGUAGCAUAAUCAUUUGUCUUUUAAAUGAAGACUGGAACAAAAGAUUUAACAUCUUAAUUAAUUUUUCUAUUUAAAAAUCUUAACUUAUUUUAAAAGUAAAAAAACUUUUAUACCUAAAAAAGACGACAAGACCCUAUUGAACUUUACUUUAGUUAAACUGGGGCAGUUAAUUAAUUAUUAUUUUAAUUUAAAUAUUAAACUAAAUAGCCUUACAAUAGAUAACUCAGUUACCAUAGGGAUAACAGCGUAAUUUUAUUUUAAAGACCUUAUUAAAAAUAAUGAUUGCGACCUCGAUGUUGAAUUAAUAGCCUAAUUUAAAGCAAAAAUUAAAACAGGAAGUCUGUUCGACUUUUAAACAAUUACAUGAUUUGAGUUCAGACCGGUGUAAGCCAGGUCGGUUUCUAUCUUUUAAAAACAUUUUUGUAGUACGAAAGGACCUAAAAAUAAAAUUUUAUUUACUAAAUUGGCAGAUUAAUGCAUUAGAAUUAGAAUCUAAUUAUCU
rnacentral:rRNA from 1 species